rnacentral:rRNA from 1 species
ACUCCUACGGGAGGCAGCAGUGGGGAAUAUUGCACAAUGGGGGAAACCCUGAUGCAGCCAUGCCGCGUGUGUGAAGAAGGCCUUCGGGUUGUAAAGCACUUUCAGUAGGGAGGAAGGUAGUGUAGUUAACACCUGCAUUAUUUGACGUUACCUACAGAAGAAGCACCGGCUAACUCCGUGCCAGCAGCCGCGGUAAUACGGAGGGUGCGAGCGUUAUCCGGAAUCACUGGGCGUAAAGGGUGCGUAGGCGGCUUAGCAAGCCAGGGGUGAAAGGCAUUGGCUCAACCAAUGUAAGCCUUUGGAACUGUUAAGCUUGAGUGCAGGAGAGGUAAGUGGAAUUCCUAGUGUAGAGGUGAAAUUCGUAGAUAUUAGGAGGAACACCAGUGGCGAAGGCGACUUACUGGACUGUAACUGACGCUGAUGCACGAAAGCGUGGGUAGCGAACAGGAUUAGAUACCCUGGUAGCACAGAG